rnacentral:lncRNA from 1 species
AACCCCCGCCUAGCCCCUUCACAGCAAAUGCGCUUUUUGCCCUGAGGUUGUGUGAGACCGACCUUAAACUUUCUCCGACCCUAUCUAGGGAUGCUACGGCUCAGGUCGUGGUGGUUUCGGGAACCUCAAGACAACAUUCCCCAGCUGACCUUUGGGAACUUUAACUCGGGUCGUCAUGUACGGAAAGGUAGUCUAUGGGGUACGCAGAAUGGAAAAGGGCUUCCACAUCAGUCGUGUCCGAGGACGCUCUCCAACUUUUAAUGUCCCGUUUGCUCUGAUAUUUCCCUGGAGAGUUUCAGAAAGGAUUUCUUCCGACAGACGUGACCCCAGAAGGCUGCCGAGGGAGACUUUAGGACAAGAGGAGUUGUUUUUGUGAGAAUGAAUUUUUAUACUUUCCCCCGCCCCCACCCCCCACCCCGCCCAGGUAAAUCCAAGUAAAUGAUUUUCUGAAGGUCGGUCUCCCAGAAAGCGUUUAGGCUCUAGUUUUUUGUUUUGUUUUUAUUUUCGUGUUUUCCCAGUUAGGGAAGGGAGAGGAGCCUGUGCAGAGUUGAACUGGGGUGGGGAGGUGCCUUGUAAAGUAUGGUUUCCAGAGAUGGUGAGACCUCGUAGCUAAGCGUUGUUUCCUCUGCACGUAACUGUGAGUUGUGAACUUGUGGCUCGUGGGGGAGCGGGACAGGGCCUGGCAGUGCGGGGGAGGGGGCGAGGAAUUCAGGAAGUUGGCGAGAAUUCUUCUUUUUUCAUUCUUCGUUGUAAAUUGCUUCUAAACACUUCUGAAUUUUAAAUUGCUACCGAGAAGGUCCAGAAACCGUUCUCAUCCAAUUUAGUCACUUUUAUUACAUUCCACUUUGCCUCCCCUAAUCACUGCGGAGGCUCCCAGUUUCAGCGCGGCCGCAUUUUGAAAAGGCUGAAGGUAGAAAACUCUGGAAUGGAGAGGCUGGCGACUGGAGUAGGAUCCAGGGGCUUUAAAUUUUAACCUGAGUGCGAUCGAAUGCGCGACUCCCAGAAGAGAUAGCCAGGCGUCCGCCCGGCCGCUCAACCCCCGCCAGGACUCGGAAUGCCUUGCUUUUGGUUCUUUUCGUGAGUUCCGACCAAAUGUUUAAGUGGACUGGGUUUUGCAGAAGCUCAUUUGUAAGCACUGACGGAAAUGGGUUGUGGGCAUUUGAUUUCCUUUGAUUCCAACGUUUUGAAAUAAUGUUUCUCAGAUUUGCUAUUAAAAGCAAUUUUCUAAAAACUCAUAUCUUAUUUGCUAAAAAUAAACUCUUUGGCUCAGUUUGUGUCCAGGCUGUGUACGGCCUCCAACCCUGAGCCCCGAGGAGACCGAGCCCUGGCGCGAGCCUGAUCUCUGUCCUGUGUGUUUCUUUGUAUUUGCAAGUACAAGGAUGUCUACGUGGAUAUCCCUGGACACUUGAUACCCCCCCGGGGACCUGCUUUUCCCGCAGCUCCGCAGACGCGGCGGGAGGGCGCGCUGGCCCCGGCGCUGCUGGGACAGAGGUGAGCGGCGGGGUGGACAUUGACCGAUUCGACAACGUUCGGGCUCUAAGGGCUCGGGAAGGGACCCAGCAUUUUACUCUCCAGAUUCCCAAUCUAUUUUUUAAAAUAAUGUUCAAAACAUAUGGGAAAAAUAAGUGAUUGCUCCUUUUCAUGGUCACAGAUUGUAUUUAUUUUUUCAGACUGGUUUUCCAACCUAACGAGAGAAUGGGUAGUGAAUGUUGUUGUUGUUUAUGUUGGUUAAUUUCGAAAUAAAACUGUUUAACUCGUACAGUUGAUUCAGACAG